UCGAGGAUCUUCGGCAAUGGGCGCAAGCCUGACCGAGCGACGCCGCGUGCGCGAUGAAGGCCUUCGGGUUGUAAAGCGCUGUCGAGGGGGAGGAAGACCCGCAAGGGUUUGACCUAUCCCUGGAGGAAGGACGGGCUAAGUUCGUGCCAGCAGCCGCGGUAAGACGAACCGUCCUAACGUUGUUCGGAUUCACUGGGCUUAAAGGGCGCGUAGGCGGGCUGCCAAGUCCGGGGUGAAAUCUUUCGGCUCAACCGGAAAAGUGCCUUGGAAACUGACAGCCUCGAGGGGGGUAGGGGCCUGUGGAACUUCGGGUGGAGCGGUGAAAUGCGUUGAUAUCCGAAGGAACGCCGGUGGCGAAAGCGACGGGCUGGACCCCUUCUGACGCUGAGGCGCGAAAGCCAGGGGAGCAAACGGGAUUAGAUACCCCUGUAGUCC
rnacentral:rRNA from 1 species